rnacentral:rRNA from 1 species
GACGAACGCUGGCGGCGUGCUUAACACAUGCAAGUCGAACGGAAAGGCCCUGCUUUUGUGGGGUGCUCGAGUGGCGAACGGGUGAGUAACACGUGAGUAACCUGCCCUUGACUUUGGGAUAACUUCAGGAAACUGGGGCUAAUACCGGAUAGGAGCUCCUGCUGCAUGGUGGGGGUUGGAAAGUUUCGGCGGUUGGGGAUGGACUCGCGGCUUAUCAGCUUGUUGGUGGGGUAGUGGCUUACCAAGGCUUUGACGGGUAGCCGGCCUGAGAGGGUGAACGGCCACAUUGGGCCUGAGAUACGGACCAGACUCCUACGGGAGGCAGCAGUGGGGAAUAUUGCACAAUGGGCGGAAGCCUGAUGCAGCAACGCUGCGUGCGGGAUGACGGCCUUCGGGUUGUAAACCGCUUUCGCCUGUGACGAAGCGUGAGUGACGGUAAUGGGUAAAGAAGCACCGGCUAACUACGUG